CCCCUCUCUCUCCCCCCUAGUGUCACAAUAAUAACAAAGCAGUUUGUGUAAUUCAAAACUCAGGUUUUUUUCAAAAGGUUUCUUUACUCGGUGAUGCAUCUUAAAUUAAUUGCAGAAAUCCCAAGCAACGCUCAUAUUUUUCUCCAAAUCCGAUUGUUGCGGUCUUGUUUUCAGAGCAGUUCGGUGUCGGAAGUUGGAGAAAAUUACCGAGGAACCGGGAGAUAAAUAGCACACAUAUUUCAACAUUAGUAACCGGAGGAAACGGCCAUAUCAGCAUGCUAAGAUACGCGGUCCGACAAGUGGCCCGGAAGAGGCCACCUUUACAAUAUUGUUUCGAGAGUUACCUCGCAGACAGACGUUUAAGCUCAUACAUUUGAAUUCGAUUUUCUUGUGUAAAUUUUCAAAUCUAAAUACGUUGGAAUUGCAUAGCAUACUAGCGCCGCCUGAACAACUUAUUGGUUCAUGAAAACUGACGUUUUGCCAAAUCGCCUUCUACCUCACCCGCAUUUGCCACCCACCGAAUCAUGGAAGCAAAACAGAAACACUCGACAAAGAUAUCCCCGCACGGCCGCAAAAAUCAUUUUUAUCUGAACGACUUUACAAUUGACUUUUACAAUGUAGCUAUAAGAAUUACUUUACUUGCAGCUCAUGCCUCGAUGUAGUUGACGUUGGCUCUUUUAGAUCCUUUCACAUGCGUGGUUUUUGUUUUGGCGAUUGUGAUUCGAAAACAUGUGCCUGGAACGAAAAUCGUAGAUUUUUUCAUUGCAAAACCAACGAAUAGUCCAGUCAAGUAGGGCAUGAAAAGGAAAAAUCAAAAAUGAAAUAACCCCUUCCUCGACCCCUUCUGAGUAACAAAUAUCAUCUCUGGCGUGCUGAGCAUUUUUCGAUUCAUGUUUGAACAACGCGUGUGUGCGUGAUUCAUGCAUUUUUAUUGAGAAUCCCAUCGAGCAGAUCCGAUCAAGAAACUAAAAGAUUUUGAUGAAAUC